rnacentral:rRNA from 1 species
GUGGGGAAUCUUAGACAAUGGGGGAAACCCUGAUCUAGCCAUGCCGCGUGAUCGAUGAAGGCCUUAGGGUUGUAAAGAUCUUUCAGGUGGGAAGAUAAUGACUGUACCACCAGAAGAAGCCCCGGCUAACUCCGUGCCAGCAGCCGCGGUAAUACGGAGGGGGCUAGCGUUGUUCGGAAUUACUGGGCGUAAAGCGCACGUAGGCGGAUUGGACAGUUGGGGGUGAAAUCCCGGGGCUCAACCCCGGAACUGCCUUCAAAACUCCCAGUCUUGAGUUCGAGAGAGGUGAGUGGAAUUCCGAGUGUAGAGGUGAAAUUCGUAGAUAUUCGGAGGAACACCAGUGGCGAAGGCGGCUCACUGGCUCGAUACUGACGCUGAGGUGCGAAAGAGUGGGGAGCAAACAGGAUUAGAAACCCUUGUAGUCC